CCAAUCGCCUUCCCAGGGCUUCCCUGGUGGCUCAGCUGGCUCAGCUGGUAAAGAAUCUGCCUGCAAUGAGGGAGACCUGGGUUCAAUCCCUGGGUUGGGAAGAUUGCCUGGAAAAGGGAAAGGCUACCACUCCAGGAUUCUGGCCUGGAGAAUUCCAUGGACUGCAUAAGUCCAUGGGGUUGCAAAGAGUUGGACACAACUGGGCGACUUUCACUUCACUUCACUUGAAUCCCAAUCAGGAUUGCAACAGUAGAGGAUAGUGGACGGACUGCAAGGGCCAGGAUACAAGGAACCGAAGCACGGACAAGGAAAAGUGAUACCAGGACACAGUGGGAAGUAACAGCGUUUGACUAAAGUACAGAAUACAUGCUGCAGAAAAGGUGAGAAGUGACCCUGAAGGUUCCUGGAAGCUGACACUGGAACCCUAUACACGUCUGGGGAUUCCCAAGCUGCCAGUGUAAUUGCCAUCAGUAAAUAUUUAAGGGACAAAUGAAAAGAGAGGGAAGAGGACAGGGCAGCAGGAAAGAGACAAGGAAGCAAGAAAGAAAGGGAAGAGAGAGCAAAGUGAUAAUGACCACUGGCGUGAACGUUGGCAAAUCACAAACAGUAGGCAAAUUUCUUAAAGGAUCCAGGUUGUCUCAAUGGAAAGAGGAACAGGUUACUGGAGUGUUUGCAAACAGAUGGAGAAGUCUGAAGUCUGGUGAGUGGUUAGAGAUGAAAACAGGGUCAUUGGUCUCAAGAGUAUCUGUGGUCCCUGGUGGGAAGGUGAAGGAGUUACAUGUUGGUCCAGAGAACUCCAGUUUGAAACCAAGCCUCGGGGCUUCCCUGGUGGCUCAUUGGUAAAGAAUCUGCCUGCUAAUGCAGGAGACACGGGUUCGGUCCCUGGUUCAGGAAGACCCCACAUGCUGCAGAGCAACUAAGCCCAUGCGCCACAACUAUUGAACCUGUGCUCAGAGCCCUGGAGCUGCAACUAUUGAGCCCACGUGACCGCAGCUACUGAAGCCUGCGAGCCCUAGAGCCCAUGCUCUGCAACGAGAGAAGCCCUCGCAAUGAGAACCCUGCCCACCACAACUAGUGAGUAGCCGCUGCUCUCCACAACUAGAGAAAAGCCCCAGAAGCAAUGAAGAGCCAGUACCAUCAUGAGUAAAUAAAUAAGAAAUCAAGCCUGAUUGCUAUUAUAUGACACAGAAUUAUUGUCACCUCUGCAUUAAGCAGCCAGGCCUGGUUUGCAUUGCUCCUACUUACCAGGUGAAGAGAAAAAUCAAGAAAUUGCCCUGGAUUUGCUAAAAAAUGGAUUUUUACCCCUAUGAUUCUUAGGGGUAAAAAAAAAAGCACGUGGACAUCUCAUUGGAGGUUGCUUUAAAAAUCCAAAUCACAGGACUUGGGACUUCCAUGGUGGCCCAGUGGUUAAGACUCUACAUUUCCACUCCAGGAGAAUCUGGUUCAAUCCCUGUUUGGGGAACUAAGAACCCACCAGCCUCGAGAAGCAGCAAAAAAAAAAAAAAAUCCUGCCUGAUACUGGGUAUAUGAAAGUCGGCUGGCAGGAAACAGAGGGCCACCCAGGAAGCCCGCUUCCUCACAGGAGCUCCAGAGCCUGCAGAUGCCCUUCAGGUGGAUGUGUGGGACUCACAGAAUCUAGACCUCGAGGAUCAGAAGAGCCCGGUGCCCUGCGUUCUCCUGCUCAACACGGGCUUCCCUGUUGGCUCAGCUAGUAAAGAAUCCGCCUGCAAUGUGGGAGACCUGGGUUCGAUCCCUGGGUUGAGAAGAUCCCCUGGAGAAGGGAAAGGCUACCCCCUCCAGUAUUUUGGCCUGGAGAAUUCCAUGGACUGUGCAGUCCAUGGGGUCGCAAAGAAUCAGACAUGACUUUCACUAUCACUUUCAAGCUCCUCUGGGGGCAUAGAUGAUGCUUUGUAUCUUGUUGAACACCCCACCACACCAGCAAAUCUAAUCCAGAGUCUACUACACAGAAGGAUUGUGGUUGUUCACAGACAAAAGAUACAUAUCCCUGGUAUAUUAGGAGCUUCUAAAAAUGGAGACGAAAAUAACCAGUAACACCAGGGAAACCAGCUAAAGAUAUGAAUAGAUAAUUCACAGAAAAAGAAAUGAAAACAGUCCUUAAUCAUAUGGAAAAAUGCUCAAACUCGCUCGAAACAAGAACGAUACAAAUGAAAGCUCACAGAUAUAAUUUCCAACCUAUCAGAUUGGCCCAAACUCAAAAGUUUUACAACAUACUCUUGGCAAGAAACAGGC
ensembl:lncRNA